rnacentral:rRNA from 1 species
GACGUAGGAUGCAAGCGUUGUCCGGAUUUAUUGGGCGUAAAGAGUUCGUAGGCGGUUCGUUAAGUUUGGUGUUAAAGACCGGGGCUCAACUUCGGGGUUGCACUGAAUACUGGCGGACUCGAGUGUGGUAGAGGCAAGUGGAAUUCCAGGUGUAGCGGUGAAAUGCGUAGAUAUCUGGAAGAACACCGGUGGCGCAAGCGACUUGCUGGGCCAUAACUGACGCUGAGGAACGAAAGCUAGGGUAGCGAAUGG